AAUUUUAAAGGCUUGAUAAAUACAAUUGGUCUUUAAAGUUUUCUUUUAUGAUUGUGCUGAUACACUCAUUUACUACUUGUGUACCUAAAUAAGACCAUCAAAUACUAUGAAAACAAGAGUGACAAUUCCUAAUAGUGAAAUCUCAGGCCCUAACACCUAGGUUGUGUCCACUCACUGAGACCCAGGACCCCCCGGUUCUAUUGGUUCUGUUGCUGCCUCGGACACUAGCUGUGUGAUUUUGGACAAGUCACUUUUCGUCUCUGGGCCUGUUUCCUCUUGUAUAGAAAAGAUUCAACUAGAGUUCCAACUGAUAAGCCUUUUUAUCAUUAACUUCCAAGCAUCUGACCUCUCUUUGCAAGUGCAUUUUAGUGUGUGGAAGCCCGAUACAUGAAACAGAAGAAAGUAUGUCAACAACCCAACCGUUUGUGCUCUAGACCCACUUCCUGACUCCAGGCGAAUGCAGUGAACCUAAUCCACUAGUCAGAGCUGUGCUGUCUCUCAGUUGAGUGGAGAGUCACUGGGUGAUUUUAAGUGACCCAUAGGAGCUCACAUGUAACAAUUGUUCUUACAGUGUUUCCCUAAGUAGUAAGCCCAGAUGCUGGUGGUUGCAUGAGGGCUCAGGAAAUGUUUGGGCUCCAAUGUUUUUUUUGCUAUUUCUAGAGAAUUCUGUAAGGAUCCCCAGGUCUUUGGGAGAACCAUCCAUGAGUGGCUUUCAGGGGAAUCAGGUCCCAGGUUAUUAUGCUCAGAGCUCUCCAGCCCCACUGCCAGCCCCCAACCCAGAGCUACAACUUUGGUGCUAUUGCAGGAAGAUAAGGCCACACAGAGAAAGGAUGGAGGCAAGGAGAGGGGUCAAGUGCAACACACAUCACCUUGGAAAUAUGGGGAAUGUUUAUCAGUGUCCUCUCCCUGUUCUGAGAGGUGCCAUCUGGACUUCUAUGACAUUGGCUUCAGCCUCCUCAGGCUACGUGUCAUGACAAGGAUCAUUUUGGCUCCUUUAGGAGAGGGCUAGAUGCCCCAUGAUAUUCUGCAUCAUCAGAGCCCACAGACUGUAACACCCAUGUCCUGAGUAAUAAUGAGCAGGACAUCACCCAGAGCAAAGCCUGGGCCCUGGGCUCAUGGGAUCCCAUUUGCACUUGGUCCAGACUGACAAGACUCAAACUCAGAGGAUGUGAGAACAGCAGGAGUGCAGUCCCUGAGGAGCGAAAGACAAAUGUGUAGGCCAUUCAGUAGGAUGGCCCUUCCUGGCUCAAGUUUUCUCUGUGGACAGAAGCAGGAAGUUGGCAGCCAGUGUUCCCCACCUCCCUGAAUUUCCUUGCCCAUUUAGAGGAUAGAGAGCUAGGGACUUGGGUGAAUGACUAGUUAUAGCCCAAGUCCCCACUCCUACCAGGACACACCAGCCUGGGCUGGGGAUCAGGGGACCUGGCUUCAAGUCCCAGUUGGGUCACUUUCUCAUUGUAAAGCUAGUCACAUGUCUUCCCUGGUUCCCAGUUUCAUUUUCUUAAAAGAUCUUGGAUUAGAUGCUUAUCAAGGACCCUGCCAGCCUAAUAGUGGCUCUAGUGCUAGAUUAUAGAGCCUUCACAGAGUUCCACAUACUUAGGAAGAAGAAGGGAAUGUGCUAUAAUGGUUAAGUGUGUGGACCGUGGGAUUCGAUUUCCUGAGUUUAAAUCCAGACUCUCCUUUCUUUGCUAUGACUUUUUGUUUUUCUUUUUUUUUAAGUAGGCUCCAUGCCUAGCAUGGAGCCCACCAAUGUGGGACUUGAAGUCAUGACUGUGAGAUCAAGACCUGAGCUGAGAUCAAGAGUUGGACACUUAACCGACUGAGCCACGCGGGUGCCCCUCCUCGCUGUGACUUUGAAAAGUAUUCCACAUUGGCAAAGUGAAGGAUGUUCUUCCUCAGUGUACCUCUCUAUGGCUGGAUUUCCGCAUUUUAUAAAGAUGUAAGUCAUAUUGGAGUAAAGCCCACCCUGAAGAUUUCAUCUCGACUUGAUCAUCUACCAAGACCCUGUUCCCAAACAACAUCACACCCACAGAGACAACCCCAGUUUGCAUGGGGUUUGUCUCCUACUUGACAUUUUCAUUAGCUGGUGCCAACUUCCCACUGCUUGUGGAGGAAGAUCCCUGUGGCGCCAGCCAUUCUCCCCACUGAAAUGGAUCAGCUUGUGGGG